rnacentral:rRNA from 1 species
GAUGAACGCUGGCGGCGUGCCUAAUACAUGCAAGUCGAGCGGCAGCACGGUCUUCGGACUGGUGGCGAGCGGCGGACGGCUGAGUAACGCGUAGGAACAUGCCCUAAAGUGAGGAAUAACUGCCCGAAAGGGUGGCUAAUGCCGCAUGUGCUCUUCGGAGUAAAGCUUUAUGCGCUUUAGGAGUGGCCUGCGUCCGAUUAGCUAGUUGGUGAGGUAAUUGCUCACCAAGGCGACGAUCGGUAGCUGGUCUGAGAGGAUGAUCAGCCAGACUGGAACUGAGAACGGUCCAGACUCCUACGGGAGGCAGCAGUAGGGAAUUUUCCACAAUGGGCGAGAGCCUGAUGGAGCAACGCCGCGUGCAGGAUGAAUGCCUUAGGGUUGUAAACUGCUUUUAUGUGCGAAGAAUUUGACUGUAACACGUGAAUAGGGAUCGGCUAACUACGUGCCAGCAGCCGCGGUAA